rnacentral:rRNA from 1 species
AGUGGCGGACGGGUGAGUAACGCUUGAGAAUCUGCCUUGGGGUCGGGGACAACCACUGGAAACGGUGGCUAAUACCGGAUAAGCCGAUUGGUGAAAGAUUUAUUGCCCGAAGAGGAGCUCGCGUCUGAUUAGCUAGUUGGUGAGGUAAGAGCUCACCAAGGCAGCGAUCAGUAGCUGGUCUGAGAGGACGAUCAGCCACACUGGGACUGAGACACGGCCCAGACUCCUACGGGAGGCAGCAGUGGGGAAUUUUCCGCAAUGGGCGAAAGCCUGACGGAGCAAGACCGCGUGAGGGAGGAAGGCUCUUGGGUUGUAAACCUCUUUUCUCAGGGAAGAAGCUCUGACGGUACCUGAGGAAUCAGCCUCGGCUAACUCCGUGCCAGCAGCCGCGGUAAUACGGAGGAGGCAAGCGUUAUCCGGAAUUAUUGGGCGUAAAGCGUCCGCAGGUGGCGAUUCAAGUCUGCUGUCAAAGCACGGGGCUUAACUCCGUAAAGGCAGUGGAAACUGAAUAGCUAGAGUGCCGUAGGGGUAGAGGGAAUUCCCGGUGUAGCGGUGAAAUGCGUAGAGAUCGGGAAGAACAUCGGUGGCGAAAGCGCUCUACUGGACGGCAACUGACACUCAGGGACGAAAGCUAGGGGAGCGAAUGGGAUUAGAUACCCC